CAAGUAUUCAGAAUAUCAGCUUGUAAAUUUAACAAUAUCGCGCCAAUGAUAUGAAACCACAAGCAGAAGUAGUCCCUUAGUACAAUUGAUCAACACACAUGAUAACUGACACAUCUAAUGUAUACAUAUAACUUCUCCCCAGCUCAUUGAUAUGAUUAAGCUCAAUAAGGGGGCAAAUUCUCAUGACUAGUUUAUACAUGACUCUUACAGACUCUUAGUUUGUGAGUCCGAAAAUGACCAUGACUGGAAUAUCAAAGUUUAUCAGCUACCUUACAAUACAGCAGAAACACUUGGUUGCCUCUACUCCGUAAUUAGCAUCUGAAUAUCAUCUGUGGGAGUUGGAAGCUCAAGAAUUUGAUUCCAGAAUCCGCCGCAGGACCCAGAGACCUUAUUGCGGCAAGAGUGGACGGUCUUAAACUGAUCAACAUCAAGUUUCUUAUUGAUUAUGCCCACAUGGAAAUAAAUAGAAUCGGAAGGAGGCAAAUCAACCUUGAUCUCAUCAACAUUGAACCACAAAAACAAUCUUUGAACCUCAAUCCCUUUCAAAUCUGUGAUAGACCCAUAACUCAACUUGCCAGUAAUUUGCUUAUCGUAAUAGACCAAGUACUCGAAUUGAAUAUAACACGGUUUCCCCAGAAGAACAAUGAAGCGGCCGUCGUCUGAGAGGGUGUAGUUUGUUACUGAAUUGGGUAAUAGUCCGCUUGGAAGGCCAUACUUCGGCAAGAUUUCAAAGACAGAAAUAGGGUCCUGUAUUGAAAA
rnacentral:misc_RNA from 1 species